rfam:Oryza brachyantha chromosome 9, whole genome shotgun sequence.
AAUAAGUGCAUUUUUGCACUAUUUAUGUUAAACAUUUGAUCGUUUGUCUUAUUUAAAUUUUUUUAUGAUUAGUAUUUUCAUUGAUAUUAGAUGAUAAAAUAUGAAUAAUACUUUGUGUGCCUAUUUCUUUUAAUUUUUUAAUAAAUUUUUAAAUAAGACGAAUAAUCAAACAUUAAACACAAAAAUUCACAAAUACAGUUAUU